rnacentral:rRNA from 1 species
AUUGAACGCUGGCGGCAUGCCUUACACAUGCAAGUCGAACGGCAGCGCGGGGCAACCUGGCGGCGAGUGGCGAACGGGUGAGUAAUAUAUCGGAACAUACCCUAGAGUGGGGGAUAACGUAGCGAAAGUUACGCUAAUACCGCAUACGCACUAAGGUGGAAAGUGGGGGGAUCUUCGGACCUCAUGCUCAUGGAGUGGCCGAUAUCUGAUUAGCUAGUUGGUGAGGUAAAGGCUCACCAAGGCGACGAUCAGUAGCUGGUUUGAGAGAACGACCAGCCACACUGGAACUGAGACACGGUCCAGACUCCUACGGGAGGCAGCAGUGGGAAUUUUGGGACAAUGGGGGGCGAACCCCUGAUCCAGCAAUGCCGCGUGAGUGAAGAAGGCCUCGG